AUUGAACGCUGGCGGCAGGCUUAACACGUGCAAGUCGAGCGGAGAUGAGGUGCUUGCACCUUAUCUUAGCGGCGGACGGGUGAGUAAUGCUUAGGAAUCUGCCUAUUAGUGGGGGACAACAUUCCGAAAGGAAUGCUAAUACCGCAUACGUCCUACGGGAGAAAGCAGGGGAUCUUCGGACCUUGCGCUAAUAGAUGAGCCUAAGUCGGAUUAGCUAGUUGGUGGGGUAAAGGCCUACCAAGGCGACGAUCUGUAGCGGGUCUGAGAGGAUGAUCCGCCACACUGGGACUGAGACACGGCCCAGACUCCUACGGGAGGCAGCAGUGGGGAAUAUUGGACAAUGGGCGGAAGCCUGAUCCAGCCAUGCCGCGUGUGUGAAGAAGGCCUUUUGGUUGUAAAGCACUUUAAGCGAGGAGGAGGCUACCUAGAUUAAUACUCUGGGAUAGUGGACGUUACUCGCAGAAUAAGCACCGGCUAACUCUGUGCCAGCCGCCGCAGUAAUAC
rnacentral:rRNA from 1 species